rnacentral:rRNA from 1 species
UGGGGAAUAUUGCACAAUGGGCGCAAGCCUGAUGCAGCGACGCCGCGUGAAGGAUGAAGGUCUUCGGAUUGUAAACUUCUAUCAGCAGGGAGGAACCAAUGACGGUACCUGACUAAGAAGCCCCGGCUAACUACGUGCCAGCAGCCGCGGUAAUACGUAGGGGGCAAGCGUUAUCCGGAAUUACUGGGUGUAAAGGGUGCGUAGGUGGCAUGGUAAGUCAGAUGUGAAAACUUGGGGCUCAACUUCAAGAUUGCAUCUGAAACUGCUAAGCUAGAGUGCAGGAGAGGAAAGCGGAAUUCCGAGUGUAGCGGUGAAAUGCGUAGAGAUUCGGAGGAACACCAGUAGCGAAGGCGGCUUUCUGGACUGUAACUGACACUGAGGCACGAAAGCGUGGGGAGCGAACA